CCUACGGGUGGCAGCAGUGAGGAAUAUUGGUCAAUGGACGCGAGUCUGAACCAGCAAAGUCGCGUGAAGGAUGACUGCCCUAUGGGUUGUAAACUUCUUUUAUAUGGGAAUAAACUGUUCCACGUGUGGGAUUUUGUAUGUACCAUAUGAACAAGGAUCGGCUAACUCCGUGCCAGCAGCCGCGGUAAUACGGAGGAUCCGAGCGUUAUCCGGAUUUCGUGGGUGUAAAGGGAGCGUAGGUGGUUUGUUAAGUCAGUUGUGAAAGUUUGCGGCUCAACCGUAAAAGUGCAGUUGAAACUGGCAGUCUUGAGUACAGGAGAGGUGAGCGGAAUUCGUGGUGUAGCGGUGAAAUGCUUAGAUAUUACGAAGAACUCCGAGUGCGAAGGCAGUUCACUGGACUGCAACUGACACUGAGGCACGAAAGUGUGGGUAUCAAACAGGAUUAGAUACCCGGGUAGUC
rnacentral:rRNA from 1 species